AUCAGUUGAUGAUCAUGUUCAUAGGAGCAGUGGAGGAGGAAGAGAGACCAAGAAGAUAAAAAUGGCUGGUGGCAUCAAAAGCAGUAUGGAAAGGAGAGUAAAGAACUGGCUGGGGUAUUGGGCCAGAGAAGAGUUGUUGGUAACAUCCAAAAGAGCUGUUUUGGCCUAGCCUGCUUGGAAACUGGAUGGGUGAGGGAUAUGGCCCGGGGGCCAAGCAGAGUCUCUGUGGUCAACCCCUGUAAUUUCCUGCUGAACAUCAAUCAUGGGCUGUCACACAGCUGUUCCUGGUGGUCCACAGGUCAGCCACAGUGUUCACAUUAGGAAGGUUCCUGAUCCCUCAGUGGCAGAUUUCAAGCGGGGAUGAAUCCAUCACACUGGUGGACAAACUGGUUUAAUUAAUUGGGUACUCUCACUGCUAGGGUUGAAUUGUUCUUCUUCAGGCUGAAGUUACUGGGCUUGACCAUUAAUCUCUGGAUUGUAAAAUAACCUCAUCUGUUAUCCCAAAAAUCUCCCCAGAAGAUGAACAGAUUGCUAAAGACAUAAUUUAUUUUAUACUAUUUUGUGCAAAUUUAAACUACAGAAUUGAAGAGCAUAUUCAACUGAGAAAGGGAGUAGACCUGCCAGGAAAUUGUAGCAGUGAAGAGUGACAGAAGUGAAGGCGGAGCAGAGAUGAAUCUCUUGAAGAAAAACUUGAAAGCCUGGAUGCUGAAGAUCUCAUGUCUCAUCUGUCACCACCAGAAACCUACCUAGAAGAGAAGAUCAAUUGAAGACUUGUGUUGCUGUGGAAAAAGGAAGAUGCUAGACAUGC